rnacentral:lncRNA from 1 species
CGGGAGGGUGGCUGUGGAAGGGGCUGCGCCUCGUCAGAAGUUUGUUCCGAGUCAAAACCCGUGAGUAGUAAGAGAGCAGCGGGGCGGGACCAGCGGCCUGCAGCUCCGUGGGCACGGCCAAGGCGGUUCCGUCCCUGGCGCCCCUUGGCAGUGUCGCCAAGCAGAGCCAGUUUCAGCCAGAGUCGCAGGGCCCGCGCUCCCCGGUGUCUGCGGGAAAGGCGAGCGAGAUAAUCUUGGAGGUUACGGAGGGCUGCGGGCUGCUCCAUGCCGCCGUCUGGGAAGUUGGCGGAGGCCAGGGAAAGGAGCUGGAGCCGCCACGCUCCAGCCUGCGCUUGGGCGGCCCCGUGGGGCACAAUCGCCCCUGUCCUGAGCCCCCCGCACCCGUGAAGCAGGGCUCGCUUUUAUGCUCCAUGGUGUCUAGGCGUCCAGUGUGCGAGCCGCCGGCUGUCGUGGAAGACAGCGGUCACACUGAAACUAGGGUUUGAACAUAAACCGUGAUUUCUGUAUCUGGCUGGUGCGAAGUGCUGGGCAAGGGGGGAGAAAGAAAGAUGGGGAAUGAAUCAAGAAAUGUCUCGAAAUAUUUUACGUUGCCAUUUUGAGUCUGAGAUGACUCUUACUGAGAAUUUUUUAUACUUUGACUGCUUCAGUAAAGCGUAACUUUUAAACAUCUUAUUUUUGUUCCUUGUUUAUUUUUAAUGAUCCAUCCCCCUCAAAAUAAGCAAAUUGAACCAACUCAAGAUUGCUGUAGGUUCCUGGCCUAACCACUGCAGCCAAAGAGGGCAUGGGAAGAGGUUAAAUUGGAAAUCAAAAUAACUGUUUGAAUACCAGAAUGUUCUCUAACUUGCCAAGAUGUCAAGUGCUUCUGGAUUCCAAAGUGCCUGGAGCUCUCCUGGCCUGCUUGCUCUAAGAGGCAUCCUCUAAUCAGCCCUUCCUCCCUUACUUUAUGGUACUUUGAAGACCUAAUAAAUGUAUUGACCCACGUUCAUGCUGAACAGGUCUACAGAGGGCCCCAGAAGAACCAGCAGACAAGGAUACCUUCCAAGUGUCAUCCUCCUGGGGUAAAUUUGGAAAUCUUAUGUCUUUUGCCUUUGGUAUGGCAACCAGCACUUUCUUCCUGAAUUCCACUUACUAGGUCCCUAUCAGACUUGUUGUUUAAAAGAUGUCUCCAAAUUAAUAAUUUUAAUUUUAAUAUGACCUUACAUCACCAUGCUAUUUUAUUCAAAUAUGUACCUGUUGAGCCUUAUCUUUCAUUGCAAAAUGAAAACUUGAAGUCUGACAAGAAGGGGAGUCUCAUAUUUCAAAAAAGGAUCAACAAGUCAGGAUGAUCCAGUCUGCAAUCUGUACUUUCCAUUUUGGUGAAAUUGUGCCAUAUACCAGAACACAAAUUUGCUUUUUAAAAAUUGUAGUGGAUUUCCCAAUGGAGUUGUACACUAGUAAGGAUCCAGAUGGGAAGUAAAAGUCAGUCUAGUCACAUUGCUUCCGAAUAACUAAACUGGGCAAAGAGGUUAAUGUUAGGGUAGGAUUUCAUUUGUAAAGUAUGUUAAUUCUUUCAGUAAAUAACUAUUAAGGCAAUAACUUUUGCUAGGCACAGUGCUAAGUGCCAGAGUUUGUCCUAGUGUGGGCUACCUCAGAAGCCGACCUUAAGAUUAGAAUUUCAGUACAGGUGAUUUUUUUUUUUAAUUGGGGAAGUGAGUUUUUUUUUAACUAGGAAAUAAAAGAAAUCAAUAUUGGGGUUGUUAAUGAGUGGGUUACUGCUGAGAGCAGCUGGGCUUGAUCCCCUGGGAGUCUUCAGGAUUUGGAAAUUUCAUUGCUGCUACCAUAGGACUUCCAUAGUAAUCCCUGGAAAAUCCUGUUGCUUCUUAUAGUUUCUUAAAGCUCAGGGAAGGGUCUGAAUGUCAAUUGUCCUUGUUCUCUGCUCUUCAUGGCAAUGGCAGGCUGACUGUCCUUAGGAGCCUGCCAUUCACAUUUCAAAAGGUAAGGGGGGUUUACCCAGCCACAACUUCCCUUACAAUUUGGGACUACUACUAUUUUUUUAAAUCCCUUCUUACAAGUAACUGGUCAAAACAGCCUUUGAUCCCAAAGCAAAGGGCUCUAUUGAAAACUAAUGGUGAGAAAUAGGGGUUUAAUUUCAUUUUGUUGCAUACGGAUUUCCAGUUUUCCCAGCAUAAUUUUUUGAAGAGGCUAUCUUUCUCCAAUGUAUGUUUUUGGCACCUUUGUCUAAUAUAAGAUAAUGUAAUUGUGUGGGUUUGUCUCUUUGUCCUCGAUUCUGUACCAUUGGUCUACCAGUCUAUUUUGGUGCCAAUUCCAUGCUAUUUUUGUUACUAUUGCUCUAUAGUAUAGCUUAAGGUCUGGUAUAGUGAUGCCACCUGCUUCACUCUUCUUGGAUUGCUUUAGCUAUUCUGGGUCUCUUAUUUUUCCAGAUGAAUUUCACAACUGCUUUUUCUAUUUCUGUGAGGAAUGCCAUUGGGAUUUUGAUUGGAAUUGCACAAAAACAUGCACAAAACUCAAAGUGGAUCAAGGACCUCUGAAUUAAGUUAGAGGCACUGUAUCUCAUAGAAGAAAAAGUAGGCCCAAAUCUCUAUCAUGUUGGAUUAGCCAUCCCCCCUGCCCAACUUCCUUAAUAAGACUCCUGUAGAGCAAGAAUGAAAAUCAAGAAUCAAUAUAUGGAUGGAUUCAAACUAAAAAAAGCUUCUUGUCAGCAAAAGAAACAAUCAGUGAAGUGAAUAGAGAGCCUAAUUGGGAGCAAAUUUUUAUCAUUCACACAUCAGGCAGAGCACUAAUCUCUAGGGUGUAUAAAGAACUCAAAAAGCUAAAAACAAACACACACACACACACACACAAAAACCACACACACACACAAAAAGAAAAAAACAGUCAACAAGUGGGCCAAGGAACUGAACAGGCACUUCUCAGAAGAUGAUAUACAAUCAAUCAACAAAUAUAUAAAAAAAUGUUUAACAUCUCUAGCAAUUAGAGAAAUGCAAAUCAAAACUACUCUAAGAUUUUAUGUCACUCCAGUCAGAAUGGCAGCUAUUAAGAAUACAUACAAAGAACAAUAAGUGUUGGUGAGGAUGUGGAGAAAAAGGUACACUCAUACAUUGCUGGUGGGACUGCAAAGUGGUGCAGUCAAUAUGGAAAACAGUAUGGAGAUUCCUUGGAACCACCAUUUGACCCAGCUAUCCCACUCCUAUGUCUAUAUACCCAAAGGACUUAAAAGACAGCAUACUAUAGGGACAUAGCCACAUCAGUGUUUAUAGCAGCACAAUUCACAAAAGUUAAACUGUGGAACCAACCUAGUCCCCUUCAGUAGAUGAAUGGAUAAAGAAAAUGUGGUAUAUACACAAUGAAAUAUUACUCAACAUUAAAAGAGAAUAAAAUCAUGGCAUUUGCAAGUAAAUGGAUGGAGUUGGAGAAUAUAAUGCUAAGUGAAGUUAGCCAAUCCUAAAAAAACUAAAUGCCAAAUGUUUUCUCUGAUAUAAUGUUAGAGUCUGUAAACAAGUCAAAAAUAACACCUGGCAUUUUGCCAGGGGAAUGUUAGAGUCUGUAAACAAGUCUGGAUGGUGCCUGGCAAAAUGCCAGAGGGAGUGGUUUGAGAAGUAACAAAAACAAGCCAUUAAGUGUGGAGAUUCCUUAUUGGUUGACUGAUGUAUCUAGUUUAUGCUAAUUAGAUAAGCUGUGUGGAAUGUAUAAAUACUGCUCCUGUCCUGCAAUAAACGGCUCCUACUCCUGCUGUAUCAACGUUCACAAGUUGUUCGUCACCCCCCAGUUAUUUUGCUGCAGCCGGACUGCGGCAAUAUAAGAAGGCUGAUUCACAG